AAGUCGUAACAAGGUUUCCGUAGGUGAACCUGCGGAAGGAUCAUUAUUGAAUAAACUUGAUGUGGUUGUAGCUGACUCUCUCGAGAGUAUGUGCUCGCCCGUCAUCUUUAUCUUUCCACCUGUGCACUUCUUGUAGAUUUGGAUGUAGCUUUCCGAGGUAACUCGGUCGGGAGGAAUGUCAACUCUUGUUGACUUUCCUUGUAUGUCCAAGUCUAUGUUUUUAUAUACUCCAAUGAAUGUAACAGAAUGUAUCACUGGGCCUUGUGCCUAUAAACUAUAUACAACUUUCAGCAACGGAUCUCUUGGCUCUC
rnacentral:misc_RNA from 1 species